CUCCUUUGUCAAAAAUUGGGUGUUCAUAGUUUAUUUAUAUGAUGGAUUACAUUGCUAGAUGUUCAUAUGUUGUACCACCACUACAUCUCUGGAGAGAAGCUUACUUGAUCAUAAUGGAUUAUUUUUUUAUGUGUACUUGGAUUUGGUUUACCAGUAUUUUUACUAAGAACUUUUGCAUGUUCAUGGACAAAGAAGGCUGAUGAGAAACCAAAGACAAUGGCACUGGGUUUUGAUCCUACUGCAUAAACUGGCUUUGUGGGAACUUAGCCUGUUUGGAUGCUCACCUUCCUAGACCUGGACAGAGUGGUGAGGACACUGGACUUCCCACAGGGCAGGAAACCCUGACUGCUCUUUGGACUGGAGAAGGAGGGGGAA